UGCUUGAGGUUAACGAUGUGAGCUCUCAGC
rnacentral:piRNA from 1 species